CUGAGGCUGAGUAGCUGGGACGAGGCGUGGAUGGACACUUUAACUUAUCAAGAAAUUGUCUUUGCAUACUUAAAGUCCUUCAUCUGAUGAUGCUGAAAAAUCUUAGUCCAUAUUUUUGCAUAGAAUUGGAGGAACAAAAUUUAUCUUUGGAAAUCUUCUCUAUGGCUCCCUGGAUACAUAAUGAAAUCCUGUUGAAGAACCUCUUGAUCUACACUGAACUCCAAGGAGGUUGGGGAGUGCAAUUGCACAAUGUCAAUCUCAUUAUAUAAAAAAGAAAAUGAAAGCUCAGAGAAAUGACACAAUCUGCUGCGGCCCCUAGGCAAGAAGAGACCAGGAUUCAAGCCCCUCCUCACAGUCAACCCAGGACCUUCCUCCCAUAAAUAAUACAGACAUGAACGCCGACAAGGCUGUGGUCUGUUUCCUCACUCAUCUUCUAGUGGAUAGAGAGGAGUAAGAGAAGUUCAGUGGUGUGAAGCAGUGGACAGGAAGAGACCACUGAGUACCACAGGUGACCACCAUAACCAAUCUGCAGAAGACAGAGGCAUCUUCUGGGGAUUUCAACAACACUUGGGGAGAUGACCCUGGCAUAUGACCAAAUACCUUGUGGUCAAGCAAGAUAAAAUUUGAAUAUCAAAAUCAAAUGUCACCUCUGCUUUUUGGCAGGUUUUUAUUAGUAUAUUAAUAGAGGACAUGUAUGUUUAAUCUUGGCAGAUUUAAUUUAUUAUUGAGGAUAUUGAUGAGGUGGGGCGUUUAUUUUUAUAGUUAUACUAACAUAGAGACUAUAAUGUAAUAAUAUGUAAAAGAUAACAGAAAAGGUAAUAAUACUACAAUGUAACAAUAUAAUGUAGUAUCUAUUAAAAUAGGUAUCAUUAACUAUAUAUGUGUGGUUGUAGAUAUAUAUA